UACGUAGGUCCCGAGUGUUGUCCGGAUUUAUUGGGCGUAAAGCGAGCGCAGGUGGUUUAUUAAGUCUGGUGUAGAAGGCAGUGGCUCAACCAUUGUAUGCAUUGGAAACUGGUAGACUUGAGUGCAGGAGAGGAGAGUGGAAUUCCAUGUGUAGCGGUGAAAUGCGUAGAUAUAUGGAGGAACACCGGUGGCGAAAGCGGCUCUCUGGCCUGUAACUGGCACUGAGGCUCGAAAGCGUGGGGAGCAAACAGG
rnacentral:rRNA from 1 species